UAGGGAAUUUUCCACAAUGGACGAAAGUCUGAUGGAGCAACGCCGCGUGCAGGAUGAAGGUUUUAGGAUUGUAAACUGCUUUUAUCUGUGACGAAUAUGACGGUAGCAGAUGAAUAAGGAUCGGCUAACUCCGUGCCAGCAGCCGCGGUCAUACGGAGGAUCCAAGCGUUAUCCGGAAUUACUGGGCGUAAAGAGUUGCGUAGGUGGCAUUGUAAGUUGGUAGUGAAAGCGUUCGGCUCAACCGGAUAAACAUUACCAAAACUGCAAAGCUAGAGGGCGAGAGAGGUUACUGGAAUUCCUAGUGUAGGGGUAAAAUCCGUUGAUAUUAGGAAGAACACCGAUGGCGUAGGCAGGUAACUGGCUCGUCCCUGACACUAAGGCACGAAAGCGUGGGGAGCAAACAGGAUUAGAUACCCCGGUAGUCC
rnacentral:rRNA from 1 species